rnacentral:rRNA from 1 species
CCUACGGGUGGCAGCAGUGGGGAAUAUUGCACAAUGGGGGAAACCCUGAUGCAGCAACGCCGCGUGAGUGAGGAAGUAUUUCGGUAUGUAAAGCUCUAUUAGCAGGGACGAAAAAAGAAGGUGUCUCAAACAGAAACCCCACCGAACUACGUGCCAGCAGCCGCGGUAAUACGUAGGGGGCAAGCGGUAUCCGGAUUUACUGGGUGUAAAGGGUGCGUAGACGGGACGGCAAGUCAGAGGUGAAAACCCAAGGCGCAACCAUUGGACUGCCUUUGAAACUGUCAAACUAGAGUACGGGAGAGGUAGGCGGAAUUCCUAGUGUAGCGGUGAAAUGCGUAGAUAUUAGGAGGAACACCAGUGGCGAAGGCGUCUUACUGGACCGAAACUGACGCUGAGGCGCGAAAGCGUGGGGAGCAAACAGGAUUAGAUACCCGUGUAGUC